rnacentral:rRNA from 1 species
GAUGAACGCUGGCGGCGCGCCUAACACAUGCAAGUCGAACGAUUAAAGCACCUUCGGGUGUGUAUAAAGUGGCGAACGGCUGAGUAACACGUGGGCAACCUGCCCCUCUCAUUGGGAUAGCCACGGGAAACCGUGGAUAAUACCGAAUACUUCGGGACUUCCGCAUGGAAGACUCGAGAAAGCUCCGGCGGAGAGGGAUGGGCCCGCGGCCUGUUAGCUUGUUGGUGGGGUAAUGGCCUACCAAGGCAAUGAUGGGUAGCUGGGUUGAGAGGCCGACCAGCCAGAUUGGGACUGAGACACGGCCCAGACUCCUACGGGAGGCAGCAGUGGGGAAUCUUGCACAAUGGGCGAAAGCCUGAUGCAGCGACGCCGCGUGCGGGAUGAAGGCCUUCGGGUUGUAAACCGCUUUCAGCAGGGACGAGGCGAAAGUGACGGUACCUGCAGAAGAAGCCCCGGCUAACUACGUG